GAAGCUCAGUGGUUAGAGCAUCCGACCAGUGUACGGAAGCGUCAUGGGUUUCGAAUCCCGUCAGGGACU